rfam:Pantoea sp. PSNIH1, complete genome.
GAAGCUGACCAGACAGUCGCCGCUUUGUCGUCGUCCCUUUCGGGGGAGACAGGCAGAGGGGAGGAAAGUCCGGGCUCCACAGGGCAGGGUGCCAGGUAACGCCUGGGGGGCGCAAGCCUACGACCAGUGCAACAGAGAGCAAACCGCCGAUGGCCCGGAAACGGGAUCAGGUAAGGGUGAAAGGGUGCGGUAAGAGCGCACCGCGCGGCUGGCAACAGUCCGUGGCACGGUAAACUCCACCCGGAGCAAGGCCAAAUAGGGGUUCACAUGGUACGGCCCGUACUGAACCCGGGUAGGCUGCUUGAGCCAGUGAGCGAUUGCUGGCCUAGAUGAAUGACUGUCCACGACAGAACCCGGCUUAUCGGUCAGUUUCGACU